CGGUGCUCAACGCCGUCGAGCCGUUGAAACUGGCGUUCUUGAGUGGGCGAGAAGUAUGCGGAAUGCGUGGUGUAGCGGUGAAAUGCAUAGAUAUCACGCAGAACUCCGAUUGCGAAGGCAGCAUACCGGCGCCCUACUGACGCUGAGGCACGAAAGCGUGGGUAUCGAACAGGAUUAGAUACCCUGGUAGUCCACGCAGUAAACGAUGAAUGCUAACUGUCCGGUGCGAGUGAGCGCUGGGCGGUACAGCGAAAGCGUUAAGCAUUCCACCUGGGGAGUACGCCGGCAACGGUGAAACUCAAAGGAAUUGACGGGGGCCCGCACAAGCGGAGGAACAUGUGGUUUAAUUCGAUGAUACGCGAGGAACCUUACCCGGGCUCAAACGCAGGCUGACGGGUCCCGAAAGGGGCCUUUCUUCGGACAUUCUGCGAGGUGCUGCAUGGUUGUCGUCAGCUCGUGCCGUGAGGUGUCGGCUUAAGUGCCAUAACGAGCGCAACCCCUGUCCACAGUUGCCAGCAGGUAAAGCUGGGGACUCUGUGGGGACUGCCGGCGCAAGCUGCGAGGAAGGCGGGGAUGACGUCAAAUCAGCACGGCCCUUACGUCCGGGGCGACACACGUGUUACAAUGGCAGGUACAGCGGGAUGCCACGGGGCGACCCGGCGCUGAACCCGAAAACCUGUCUCAGUUCGGAUUGGAGUCUGCAACCCGACUCCAUGAAGCUGGAUUCGCUAGUAAUCGCGCAUCAGCCACGGCGCGGUGAAUACGUUCCCGGGCCUUGUACACACCGCCCGUCAAGCCAUGGAAGCCGGGAGUGCCUGAAGUGCGUGAGCGCAAGCAGCGCCCUAGGGUAAAACCGGUGACUGGGGCUAAGUCGUAACAAGGUAGCCGUAA
rnacentral:rRNA from 1 species